GUGCCAGCAGCCGCGGUAAUACGUAGGGGGCGAGCGUUGUCCGGAUUCAUUGGGCGUAAAGCGCGGGCAGGCGGCCCGCUCAGUCGGCCGUGAAAGCGCCGGGCUCAACUCGGCGAGGUCGGGCGAUACUGGCGGGCUGGAGGCUGGUAGAGGGCGGUGGAAUUCCGGGUGUAGUGGUGGAAUGCGUAGAGCUCCGGAGGAACACCAGUGGCGAAGGCGGCCGCCUGGGCCAGUCCUGACGCUGAGCCGCGAAAGCGUGGGGAGCGAUCCGGAUUAGAUACCCGCGUAGUCC
rnacentral:rRNA from 1 species